GCAUUCCUUGGCUUGUGGCUGCAUCACUCCAAUCUCUUGUUUCCAUGGAUGCACCAUCUCCUCCUCACUUUGAGCCUCCUGCCUCCCUCUUAAGAGAACCUUUACUCUGCACACAACUGAAUACUGGACUUUCACAUGAACCUGCUCAGGCAUCCCUUUAGAUGGCCAAGCCCCAAAGCAAGAGUAUCCUACCAGGCACUUGCCAACCAUUGACUUCCCAAAAGAUCAUCAGAAAACAUGUCAAUCAAGAAAAGCUAAGUUUAUCAGACACAUUGCAUAAGGAAGAACAUCGCAUUGACAGUCUUACUAGUGUCUCAAAGUGGAAAAAUUGGGGGAGGGUUCACAGGGUUUUCAAUUUGGGGGUUGUUUUUAAGGCAGAUCUUGCAAGGCAAAAAACUGGUUGGAAUUGGAAAAGUUUAUGAUAGAGUAGUUGUGGAUUGGUAGGCAAAGUAAAGUGGUGUCUUAAAGCAAGUCUUGAUGAGCAAGCUGUUAGUCUUGAUAAAUAAUCUAUUUGUGUUACUUCAAAGCUUUGUAUUCCAGGAGCAAGUAUUUCCUGGGACAAGUAGCCAAGUUAUUUUGACUGGUUCAGUAUUGUUUAGCUUAGGGACAGGAAAGUCUGUUGGUUUCAGCUUCCUACCUUUAACACACAACUAGGAAUACUUAUUAUUUCUAAAGGCACGUUCUGAUUUCUUAGCCCUAAGAACUGUCUUUAGAAACAGAUACUUUGUUAAGUCACCCUGUUUUGUAGGAAAGCGUAAAUGUUAAAAGCUCAGGUUUCUGGAGCUGGCUAGGCCUGGGUUUGAAUCUUGGUAUUGAACAUGCAUUUUCUUAUCUGUUAAAUGGAGCUAGCUGUUCAGUUGUUCUGAGCAUUCAAUAGGAUCACAUAAGUGAAGUUGUUACAGUACUAACAAUAAAUGAUAGC
rnacentral:lncRNA from 10 species